rnacentral:rRNA from 1 species
UACAGAGGGGGCAAGCGUUUGUUCGGAAUUACUGGGCGUAAAGGGCUCGUAGGCGGCCAACUAAGUCAGACGUGAAAUCCCUCGGCUUAACCGGGGAACUGCAUCCGAUACUGGAUGGCUUGAAUUCGGGAGAGGGAUGCAGAAUUCCAGGUGUAGCGGUGAAAUGCGUAGAUAUCUGGAGGAAUACCGGUGGCGAAGGCGGCAUCCUGGACCGACAUUGACGCUGAACGGCGAAAGCUAGGGGAGCAAACGGG